CGAAGCGUGCGAUUGGAUUGCACGUCUAAGCAGUAAGGCUGAGUAUUAGGCAAAUCCGGUACUCGUUAAGGCUGAGCUGUGAUGGGGAGAAGACAUUGUGUCUUCGAGUCGUUGAUUUCACACUGCCGAGAAAAGCCUCUAGAUAGAAAAUAGGUGCCCGUACCGCAAACCGACACAGGUAGUCAAGAUGAGAAUUCUAAGGUGAGCGAGCGAACUCUCGUUAAGGAACUCGGCAAAAUGACCCCGUAACUUCGGGAGAAGGGGUGCUCUUUAGGGUUAACGCCCAGAAGAGCCGCAGUGAAUAGGCCCAAGCGACUGUUUAUCAAAAACACAGGUCUCUGCUAAACCGUAAGGUGAUGUAUAGGGGCUGACGCCUGCCCGGUGCUGGAAGGUUAAGAGGAGUGGUUAGCUUCUGCGAAGCUACGAAUCGAAGCCCCAGUAAACGGCGGCCGUAACUAUAACGGUCCUAAGGUAGCGAAAUUCCUUGUCGGGUAAGUUCCGACCCGCACGAAAGGCGUAACGAUUUGGGCACUGUCUCAACGAGAGACUCGGUGAAAUCAUAGUACCUGUGAAGAUGCAGGUUACCCGCGACAGGACGGAAAGACCCCGUGGAGCUUUACUGUAGCCUGAUAUUGAAAUUCGGCACAGCUUGUACAGGAUAGGUAGGAGCCUUUGAAACGUGAGCGCUAGCUUACGUGGAGGCGCUGGUGGGAUACUACCCUAGCUGUGUUGGCUUUCUAACCCGCACCACUUAUCGUGGUGGGAGACAGUGUCAGGCGGGCAGUUUGACUGGGGCGGUCGCCUCCUAAAAGGUAACGGAGGCGCUCAAAGGUUCCCUCAGAAUGGUUGGAAAUCAUUCAUAGAGUGUAAAGGCAUAAGGGAGCUUGACUGCGAGACCUACAAGUCGAGCAGGGU
rnacentral:rRNA from 1 species